rnacentral:tRNA from 1 species
CGGGGCGUGGCGCAGUCUGGUAGCGCACCUGCUUUGGGAGCAGGGAGUCGAAGGUUCAAAUCCUUUCGCCCCGA